GUCUACAGGCAUGCUACCCUGAACAAGCUCUAUCUCAUCUGAUAUCAGAAGAUAAGCAGGGUUGGGCCUGGUUAGUACUUGGAUGGGAGACCACCUAGGAAGACGAGGUGCUUGCUAUAGGCU
rnacentral:rRNA from 1 species